ensembl:processed_transcript uncharacterized LOC110297540
GCUGAGCAGGAAUGGCAAUGUGGACCUCUGAUGGAACAUCUGGUGGGAUCUCACAGUCAGUUCUGUGGCAAAGGAGGAUGAAGACUUAAAGAGGACUCAACAGGAAGCUGGAUAACAGAAAGAGAGCAAUGUAAGCAGUUUUUUGUGUGCAUGUGGUCCCAUUACAAGGAAUACUCAAUGGCAAGUGAGCACUAAAGAUCCCUCAACCCACACGUUGAAUGUAGAGUUCCCUGAAAGCAAUUGUAGAGGAGUGGGUGGGAGAUCUGAAGUCAGGGCAUUGCUUCUUCUAGGUAUCUGAGGAGGAUGGUUUUUGAUAUCUGUGGGAGCUAGUGGUCCAACACAGGGUUUAUAAUUGUCAUUUAGGUCACAUUUGGUGGACUCUGGUUCCCCCAUCUUAAGUGCUGAGUCAGCGGCCUAACAGGGCAGCUUUAACUGUUUGUUUGUUGUAGGUGCUAGAAUAGAAGACCAGAAAAUGAAAGAUAUGAAAAAAAGGUGGAGUUUAAGGCUGGAUAUACAGCUUGAAAAGUACAAAUGAUGGUUUGAAUAAAGAAAGGUAAGCAUUGCAAAUUUGGUAUUUAUUACUAUAUGAAUUAAGGUACUGUUGGUGAUGACCAAUAAAGUUAAACAGAUGGGAAUCUCUCUGAAUAAGAUUGAAGAUUGAUCAUUAAGCUGAAACAGUAUUUAAGAACAUCAGUAAAUAUACUUUACAAGUACAUAUUUCUAAACGGAGUAUAAUUUCUGCAGGUAUGAACGCAUGGGUCACUUCAAGUGAAGGCACUGCAAACACAAUGAUCAGUCAUUCUGGAUUUCUGGUCCUUCUGAAUUUUAAAGGCUGCGGUGACAAGUGGACAUGCAGUGACUACCUUUUGUACCUUCCUGUUUCUGAGGUGCCUGGAUGGAGGUUCAAAU